CUCAGUCCUUCUUGAUCUGCCACUAUUGUCUCCACCGUCCACCACCAUGUGCAGCUCCUCCACCUCCAUCGCGCAUUACUUCACCACCCUCAUCCACGCUUUGCCUUUUGUCCAUCUCAUUCCCCCUAUUUGUCGUUGACCUUGUUCCUAUUCUUCCUCAUUCAAUCUUCUUGGCUGUCAACUUUAGUGAGCUCUCUCCUCCCAGUUGUGUCUUCAUUCUCUAUCACUCAGAUGCCACACGCACAGAGUUUCAGCCGAUCCGCCACCAUCAUCCCCACCGUCAACUUUCGUGUGCAGAGCUUCCACCUUUGUCAUCCUUCGCCCACAUUUUGUCUUCUGUUCACGCUCUUCCUUUCCCCUGUUCAUCGUCUCCCCUUUCCACUGUUCACUGUCCCUCCUCAUCAUAUCUCAUCGGCUCCACAUCUGUCAUGGCCUCGCUUCUCCAUUUCAUCUACCACUGUCCGCAUUUCCACUUUAGUUGCCGUGCUUUGACAGCGUGUUCUUCAUUCCUUCUAUUGUCGAACAAUACUUGAAACUCAUUUCAACCAUCGCAUCCUCGGUUCGCUAUUCACAGCCCAUACUUCGCCUUCAUCUCCAUCUUCCCUUUGUUUGGAUUGCCACUAUGCUUGUUCCACUAGCUCUACCCACCUUCGAAACUCAUCCACAUCACUGUUCACAACCCUUGCCGCCAUUGCCCCUGUUCCUCGUCACUUACCUCCUUUCUAGCUUGAUCUGUUUCCACUUCUAUCCGUCUAGCUUCAUUUUCACCUUCUAUAGACCACCACUGUGCUUUGCUGCCAUCUCUGCCAUCGCAUUCCAUCACCACAGUCUCCUUCUCUUGUAAUUAAAUUGCUGCAGUUAGCCAUUGCUCCUUCGAAGCUUCAUAUUUUUCUUUCUUUUUCUCUGUUAGUCAACAUGCUUCUUCAUCCUUCACGCUUCAGGUACCUAUUCUCUUGAGGAUAUGUCACUCUCAUCCCUCUGUCAAAGUUUUUCUAUCUGUCAACUUGCCACGCCUGUUGGUCAGGGGAAUUCCAGUGUCCCUCUCUCUCUUUAUUUGUUUUCUGUCUUUAAACAUAAGAGACAAUGUUUAAUUCAAGUGUGGGCGAGGGCGUACUUGCUUUUAUAUUUGUUAAUUUGCUUAUCCUUGAGUUUGUUUUGUUUUAGGAGUUAGUUGUAUAUAUUUAUACAUAGUUUAAAAAAAUAAUAUUUUGUUUUUUGAAAAUUUUGAAAAAAAUCUCAUAAACAUUUUUGUUUUAUUCAAUUUCUUUUGGUGUCUUUUUGGUGAAUGUGGCUAAGGAUAGAUUAGUUUGAACUUGAGAGAAUUAAAUUUGAUUAGAAGUCGGUUUUACCUUCCUAGAAUUUUAGUAAAUAGGCAAUAUAUUAAGUUUGGAUAAUUGACAAUAGUUUGUCCAAAAAGCUUGUGAGAAUUUUGAGCCUGUUCAUUUCCUUUAAGGGAGAGUACAGUUAUUGUGAUUCUAUCUCUAAAACUUGUUUUGAAUCUUUAUUGAGACUUGUAAUAGCCAUUUACAUACACAAAAAUGACUUAAGCAUUUAUUUUCUUAGCUAGUAUGGCCAAAUAUCCAUCCCUUCUUCAUAUAAAUUGUUUAUUUCACCCAUUUGAGCCUUGGCCUUAUUAUUAAAAAAAUCAUCAUAAGCCCUUUUGUUAAGAUUUUCCCACUUGUCAUUCAUUUUUAUUCCCAUUUACCACUUUGGUUAAUGCUAAGUGUUACAUCCAUGAAAGAAAAUAAAGGACUUAGAAUUUAGUUGGGGUUUCAUAAGUGGUUCAAAAGAAAAAGAAAGAGGAAACAAAAGAAGAGAAAAUGAAGAAAGAAGAGAAAAGAAUAUUGAGAGUUUUAAAAAAAUGAUGAAUAAUACUAAAAAAAAUCAAGUAAAAAAAAUUGUUGAUCUUCAUUGAUGCCUCUUGUAAAUAGUUGUGGUUUUUCCUUCAAUUUUCUUGAUCCUCAUUUAAUAUGCUUAGCACUGGUUAGAGUAUGUAAUUUUGACUCAUUAAAUAAUUUCAUUUCAUUAUUCUACCUAAAACAUUACAACCUUUUAAAAGUCCUUUUGAUUUGUGUGUGCAAUAACUUAAUUUAGUGGAGAUUAAGAUGAGAAACAAACCUAUGGUAGAUGGAUUAUGAUAGGUGGAAUUGAGUGAAAUACAACCUUUAGACACCUUGAGCGUUGAGUGUAAACACUUGAUUGGUGAGGGAUAAUCUAUUAGAAUUUAUCUUUGCUUAAUUAAGUGUCUUGCUACUAUUAUUUUUGGAAGGGAGGAAAGAUUUCUAAUUAAAUUGAGUUCUUGAAAGUUUGAAUUGCAUUUGACCUUGAAAUAUUCACAUUUUCUUUUGCCAUUUUUGUAUAGUUAUUUUCUUUUGCUUGAGGACAAGCAAACAUUCAAGUGUGGGGGUUUGAUGAUUUUCAAUAUUUUAUUGAAUUUAUUGAUAUUUUUAAUGUACUUGAAAAUCAUUUAUUUAAAUUUUUUUAGCAAAAAUAUGAUUAAGUGAAUGAAUGUGUGUGAAAAUGGGCUUGAAAAUGUGUUAGAAAUUAGGGGACCAAUUCUAACAUUAAUUAUGAGUUUUAUGCAUGUAGGGAGGCCCAAUUUAGGGUCCAAAUAAGAAAAUUUUAGAGUUCAAGUCAAAGGAAUUAAAUAUGAAAAGAAAAUCUGAACAGGUCAUGUUCACUGCAGCGAAGCGCGAUUUUAGUAAAAUGUACAGUUUUAAUUGUCAGCGAACUUUUAGGGCUUAGGCACCUUAUUUUCAUGUAUUCUUCAUCUCCAACAACUACAGAACGUCCAAGGGGAGAUAAAAGAGCCAAAGGAGGAUUGGAGAAGCUUGAGUUUGGUGGAAAAUCAAGGGUUUCGCUCAAGAUAGAUUUGAUUAAGCUUUUCUUCUCCUUCUUCUCUUUACUUUGCUGUAUAUGUUGUUGAUUUUGUUGUCAUGAAAAGCCAUGUGUAGCUGAUUUUCUCUUAAUCUAGGGUAACUAUGAACUGAUUAUUGGAUUAGAGCAUGUUUGAACCAUUUAUUUGAGUUUAAUAUUUGUUUUGUUUACUUAA